AUGGGGGCCGAGGAGAGUCCCCAGGGAGGACAGACAGAGCGAGGCUCCCUCCCCCCAUCCCAGACCUGCCCCCCCAAAGGUGAGGCCUUCGCGCCCUCGCUCCUCCGGGAGCCGGGGUCCUGCGGGAGGGGUCCCCGCCCCGGGCGUCUCCGAGGAUGCGGGGGGUGGGGGGCGGCGUCUGCGGGGAGGCGAGGCCGCCCGCUCCCCCCGGCCGCGGCGCUGCGCUGCGGCGCGCACGGGCUCCGCGGGCUCCUAUUCCGGCGGGCGGCGGGCGCCGCAGGAAGGGCCGGUGCCUGCGCUCCCCCGCCCCUUCCCUCGCCUUCUGCUGACGCUGACGUCGGAGGAGGGAGCCGGAGGGACGCUCCGACCGCGGCCGGGAGGCUCCUGGGGGCCGGGGCUCCGAGAAUCAUUUGGGAACUUGUUAAAUUGGACUUCCAGCCUGGCUUCUCUCAUCUGCUGUUAAUACCUCAGGUAGCUCUGAUGUCACCACUUUGACAAACACUGCACUAAACUAUCCAGCAUAGUGCUCUAAGAUGGGACUCUGCCCAGUUCUUUUUUUUUUUUUAAUUUUUAUUUAUUUAUGAUAGUCACAGAAAGAGAGAGAGAGAGAGAGAGAGAGGCAGAGACACAGGCAGAGGGAGAAGCAGGCUCCAUGCACCGGGAGUCGGAUGUGGGAUUCGAUCCCGGGUCUCCAGGAUCGCGCCCUGGGCCAAAGGCAGGCGCCAAACCACUGCGCCACUCAGGGAUCCCUCUGCCCACUUCUUUAACAAAACAUUUUGGCAAACAUGAGCUUUUUUAAAUAUUAAAUCCCCUUUGAAGUAAGUAGGUAUUAUAAUCCCUGUUUAUAAGAAAAUUAAGACUAUAGGCAUGAUUUACCCCAGAUAAUGCAUAUAGUAUUAUUGUCUUGAACCUCUGUAAAUGCUAGUUAACCAUGUUUUCACUAUUCCAGCAACUAAAUUAAUUGUAUUGUGUGUGUGUGUGUGUGUGUGUAUGCAUAAAUGAUUUCAGAUACUAAUGAAUCUCUCCAGGACAGGGAUAACUAUACAUAAUAGGAUAUUUUAUAAUGCUUUUAAAACAAAGCCUUCCUUCUAUAUGACUGAAGGCCAUUUACUUAGGGUAGCUGAUUUUGAGCUUCAUCUCAAAAGGAUGAUGUCAACUUGGCAUUAUUGUCAGGAUAAGCAUAAUGUACAUGAAGUGUACAUCUUAGUGUCUGACAGGUGGUAGUUCCUCAACUAAUAGCAACUACUUAUCCUCGUAUAAACCUAGUGAGACAAUGAGUUCAUGAAAAGCUGAGAAAAUGGCAUUGCUCAUGAUGAGAAGUAUUUCCUCCUAAGUCAGAUGACAUCAUUCACCAGGCCUUUGACCACAGCAGAGGAGUAGGGUCACUAUUCAGUACUCAGCAAAGCAUUUGUUGUACGUAUGCUAUGUGUUAGGCACCGUUCUAGUGCUGGGAAUCCCAGGACAAGACCUACAUCCUGGCCUGCUCUGGAGGAGCCUACAGCGUAGUAAGAGAGAGAGAAAGAGAAGAAAGAAUCUGCUGACAGUUACAUUUCAGUGAAAGCAAGGAGGGGAUGAAACCCAGGGCCAAGACACCCCACCUGGAUGACAGAGUGAGGAAGAGUGCAAACAGAAAACCUGAGAAGACUCAUGAAGGGGGUGGCCCCUGAGUUAAGGAUUAGAAGACCAAUAAGAAUUUGGCAGAUUGAAAAAGGCUUGGGAAUAGAGUCCCCAACAUAGUAUCCAGUUUAUAAAGAAAAUACUGGCAAAUAGCCCUCAUAUCUGGAGCCCACCGUACAUGUGUGUCCUUGUUAGCUGAGUGACCUUGGGCAAGUUUGAUUAUAUGUGAGUUGAGAUUAUUAAAUGUAUUCAUCAGGGUAAGUGCAAGACUGGUUUCAGUUAUGUAUUGGAUAGUCGUGGAGGUGGUGGAAGUAUUAGAAAACAGAGACUGAUAUAAACAGACUGAUAUUAAAGUUAUCAGAAUUAGAGAAAAAAAGGCUAAUUUUAGAAUACAUUUAACAGAAAAUAUGUAGAAUUAGAAGAAGAUGACUAAAAAGGAUAACUGAAUGCAAUUCAGUCCUGUGAGGUGGGAAGCAUGAGGUACAUGUGUUCAGGAAUGGAUCACUGACCAUGUAGGUAAUGGUAUAUUGUUAACCCUAAGAGUCUAGAUUCUGGAACAGAAAGACCUGUUCUAAAGGAGAGAGUAUUUGUACAUGGAGAACUAAGAUCAUAGCGGCCACUUCCCCAGAGCAUACAUUAAAUUCCAUUCUAUUACUUGCCACCAUCACGAUCUUUCACACCCACGUCUUUGUUCCCAGAAUAGGGCAUGGACACCAGCGUCUGAAACUUAAUGGUCCUUGGGAGAAAUACAGCCUUCUCUGCAUGUGUCUGGAGAAGUGUAUCCUAAGCCAGAUACUGAGGAGAUAAUUGUAAUAAAUGGUGCUGCCUCUCCUUUCUGGUGCUAACCCUGAUAGCCAUCAUCAAAGUUUUGUUGUACACAAGAACCGUUUUGGCAACGGUUUUAGGACUAACGCAGCACCUGAGCCUGUGACCAGGAGAAAUUCUUUUUUAAAAACAAUUUUGUAGAAACAAUUUAUAGAAAUGGGGCCCAUUAUCUUAUCUCUUUCAUUCAGGAGUAGAGUGGAGUGGUUAAAAACAGGAACUCAGGAGUCAAAAGCAGACCUAAGUUUACCAGUUAUUGACUUUGGGCAAAUUAUUUUACCUUUCUCAGCUUUUUAAAAAAAACUUAAAUUCAAUUUGCGAACAUAUAGUAUAACACCCAGUGCUCAUUCCAUCAAGUGCCCUCCUUAUGCCUAUCACCCAGUUACCCCAUCCCCCCCACUGACUCUUCCGCAACCCUUUGUUUGUUUCCCAGAGUUAGGAGUCCCUUAUGGUUUUUCUCCCUCUCUAAUUUUUCCCACUCAGUUCCCCUCUUUCCCUUAUACUCCCUUUCACAUUUCUUAUAUUCCACAUAUGAGUGAAACCAUAUGAUGAUUGUCCUUCUUCGAUUGACUUUUUUUCACUCAGCAUAAUACCAUCCUCUCAGCUUUUUUUCUCAUUUGCAAAAUGGGGUGGUAUCCCCUUCAUGGUGGCUGUGUCCACAUAUGAGAUAAUGGUGUUAAGUGCUUCACACAUGUAAAGUGCUCAGUGAAUGGAAGCACACAAUUACGGCCCUUUGUCCAGUACAUAUUUACCAAAGGCCUGCUGUGUUUCAGGGACUGUGCUUGACGUAAGGAGGCAAAGAUGAACCAGUUAGGGUUCCUGCUCCCAAGGGACUUGCAGUGUAGUGCAGGAGAUGUAGAUGUAAUUAGCUCAGUGCAGAAGAGCACUGGGAGUGCAGGGUACUGCCAGCAGGGGGCAGGUAAGGACUGUAGUUAAGGAUAGGAGUGGGAGAUCCCUGGGUAUGGAACGGUGGGUAUUCAAGUAGGAAAGCCUUCACUGAGGGGGUGACAUUUGAGGAGAGAAGCUUAAAGUCAGCUCUAAAUUGGCCAAUUGGAUAAAGGGGGGAGAGCAUUUCAAGGGAAGGAAAUUUCACAGAGCCUUGGCAUCGUGUAUUCAGGGAAGCUCUAGCUUUCUGAAAUGUCCGGAAAAUAGUUCUGUGUGGAGUAUAGUGAAAUUUUGAAUUUUCAUUUGAUGUUUUUUGCCAAGGAGUUUGGAAUUUCUUUAGUGGGAAGAGAAUGCAAUUAAAGCAUUUAGAGUGAGAGGGCAGCAUGAUUAGAACUGCAUAUUAUAGUAAUAGUUCAGACCAUAAUAUGAAAGAUUGGAGUGGGCAAAUAUAGGCAU
rnacentral:lncRNA from 1 species